AACGAACGCUGGCGGCAGGCCUAACACAUGCAAGUCGAGCGGGGGAGCAAUCCCUAGCGGCGGACGGGUGAGUAACGCGUGGGAACGUACCCUUUGCUUCGGAAUAGCCCGGGAAACUGGGAGUAAUACCGGAUGUGCCCUACGGGGGAAAGAAUUUCGGCAAAGGAUCGGCCCGCGUUGGAUUAGGUAGUUGGUGGGGUAAUGGCCUACCAAGCCGACGAUCCAUAGCUGGUUUGAGAGGAUGAUCAGCCACACUGGGACUGAGACACGGCCCAGACUCCUACGGGAGGCAGCAGUGGGAAUCUUAGACAAUGGGCGCAAGCCUGAUCUAGCCAUGCCGCGUGAGCGAUGAAGGCCUUAGGGUUGUAAAGCUCUUUCGUGGGGGGAAGAUAAUGACGGUACCCCAAGAAGAAGCCCCGGCUAACUCCGUGCCAGCAGCCGCGGUAAU
rnacentral:rRNA from 1 species